AUUGAACGCUGGCGGCAGGCCUAACACAUGCAAGUCGAACGGUAACAGAAAGCAGCUUGCUGCUUUGCUGAUGAGUGGCGGACGGGUGAGUAAUGUCUGGGAAACUGCCUGAUGGAGGGGGAUAACUACUGGAAACGGUAGCUAAUACCGCAUAACGUCGCAAGACCAAAGAGGGGGACCUUCGGGCCUCUUGCCAUCGGAUGUGCCCAGAUGGGAUUAGCUAGUAGGUGGGGUAACGGCUCACCUAGGCGACGAUCCCUAACUGGUCUGAGAGGAUGACCAGCCACACUGGAACUGAGACACGGUCCAGACUCCUACGGGAGGCAGCAGUGGGGAAUAUUGCACAAUGGGCGCAAGCCUGAUGCAGCCAUGCCGCGUGUAUGAAGAAGGCCUUCGGGUUGUAAAGUACUUUCAGCGGGGAGGAAGGGAGUAAAGUUAAUACCUUUGCUCAUUGACGUUACCCGCAGAAGAAGCACCGGCUAACUCCGUG
rnacentral:rRNA from 1 species